AGGAUGAACGCUAGCUACAGGCUUAACACAUGCAAGUCGAGGGGCAGCAUGGUCUUAGCUUGCUAAGGCCGAUGGCGACCGGCGCACGGGUGAGUAACACGUAUCCAACCUGCCGUCUACUCUUGGACAGCCUUCUGAAAGGAAGAUUAAUACAAGAUGGCAUCAUGAGUCCGCAUGUUCACAUGAUUAAAGGUAUUCCGGUAGACGAUGGGGAUGCGUUCCAUUAGAUAGUAGGCGGGGUAACGGCCCACCUAGUCUUCGAUGGAUAGGGGUUCUGAGAGGAAGGUCCCCCACAUUGGAACUGAGACACGGUCCAAACUCCUACGGGAGGCAGCAGUGAGGAAUAUUGGUCAAUGGGCGAGAGCCUGAACCAGUCAAGUAGCGUGAAGGAUGACUGCCCUAUGGGUUGUAAACUUCUUUUAUAAAGGAAUAAAGUCGGGUAUGGAUACCCGUUUGCAUGUACUUUAUGAAUAAGGAUCGGCUAACUCCGUGCCAGCAGCCGCGGUAAUACGGAGGAUCCGAGCGUUAUCCGGAUUUAUUGGGUUUAAAGGGAGCGUAGAUGGAUGUUUAAGUCAGUUGUGAAAGUUUGCGGCUCAACCGUAAAAUUGCAGUUGAUACUGGAUAUCUUGAGUGCAGUUGAGGCAGGCGGAAUUCGUGGUGUAGCGGUGAAAUGCUUAGAUAUCACGAAGAACUCCGAUUGCGAAGGCAGCCUGCUAAGCUGCAACUGACAUUGAGGCUCGAAAGUGUGGGUAUCAAACAGGAUUAGAUACCCUGGUAGUCCACACGGUAAACGAUGAAUACUCGCUGUUUGCGAUAUACUGCAAGCGGCCAAGCGAAAGCGUUAAGUAUUCCACCUGGGGAGUACGCCGGCAACGGUGAAACUCAAAGGAAUUGACGGGGGCCCGCACAAGCGGAGGAACAUGUGGUUUAAUUCGAUGAUACGCGAGGAACCUUACCCGGGCUUAAAUUGCAGAUGAAUUACGGUGAAAGCCGUAAGCCGCAAGGCAUCUGUGAAGGUGCUGCAUGGUUGUCGUCAGCUCGUGCCGUGAGGUGUCGGCUUAAGUGCCAUAACGAGCGCAACCCUUGUUGUCAGUUACUAACAGGUUCCGCUGAGGACUCUGACAAGACUGCCAUCGUAAGAUGUGAGGAAGGUGGGGAUGACGUCAAAUCAGCACGGCCCUUACGUCCGGGGCUACACACGUGUUACAAUGGGGGGUACAGAGGGCCGCUACCACGCGAGUGGAUGCCAAUCCCCAAAACCUCUCUCAGUUCGGACAGGAGUCUGCAACCCGACUCCACGAAGCUGGAUUCGCUAGUAAUCGCGCAUCAGCCACGGCGCGGCGAAUACGUUCCCGGGCCUUGUACACACCGCCCGUCAAGCCAUGGGAGCCGGGGGUACCUGAAGUGCGUAACCGCGAGGAGCGCCCUAGGGUAAAAC
rnacentral:rRNA from 1 species